CACUGAAGCAGGAGAGCAAGGAGGUACAUCUUGAUUGUGCACUGAACCAGAAAUAUUUGGUUGACUUCAACAAGAAAGAUAAAGACCAGCAACGUCCAGACCCAGCAUCAUCUGGUCUCAGAAAGUGCAAGAGAGCUGGAAUUGGACACACACCAGUAAGAGAGCUUCCUGAAGAAUAAGUUGCUUUCUCAGGAGUCCCUGAUGACAAACAUCCUGAAUGAAAACAGCACUUGAGAGACAACUUGGGGGACCUCCUUUCAUUAUGUGUGCAAGAGGAGAAACAGCAAUACAUCUGUGCUUCUAAAUGUUCGUUAAGAAUGUGCUGUGUAGAAAUAUUUUUGUUAUGAUUUUAAUUGAAAUUUUCUUUUUGUUGUUUCAUAUUUAUAAGUUCUUCUUACUGUUUUUAUCUUUUCAAAUAUUUUUAAAUCUUUUAAUUUAUUUGUUUUAAUCCUGUUUUGUUGUAAAAAUGAAUUCCUUAUGAAUAAAAAUUGAAUUCUA